rnacentral:rRNA from 1 species
GACGAACGCUGGCGGCGUGCUUAACACAUGCAAGUGGAGCGACGAACCAGGCUUCGGCCUGGGGCAGAGCCGCGAACGGGUGAGUAACACGUGGGUAACCUGCCUCGAUGACCGGGACAACCCGGGGAAACCCGGGCUAAUACCGGAUGUGCUCUCCUCACAUACGUGAGGAAUGGAAAGGAAGCUUCGGCCUCCGCAUCGAGAUGGGCCCGCGGCCCAUUAGCUUGUUGGUGAGGUAACGGCCACCAAGGCUGCGAUGGUAGCUGGUCUGAGAGGACGAUCAGCCACACUGGGACUGAGACACGGCCCAGACUCCUACGGGAGGCAGCAGUGGGGAAUCUUGCGCAAUGCGCGAAAGCGUGACGCCAGCCAACGCCGCGUGGGGGAA